rnacentral:rRNA from 1 species
GUGACCCCAGGUCAAGUGGGGCGACCUACCAAGUUUAAGCAUAUAAAUAAGUAGAGGAGAAGAAACUCAUAAGGAUCCCCAUAGUAACGGCAAGCGAACUAGGAUCAACCCAGCUUAAGAAUCGGGUGGCUGCGCCGUCUGAAUUGUAGUCUGGAGAAGCAUCCUCAACGACAAAUUGGGCCCAAGUCCCCUGGAAAGGGGCGCCGGGGAGGGUGAGAGUCCCGUCCGGCCCAAACCC